rnacentral:rRNA from 1 species
GAUGAACGCUGGCGGCGUGCCUAAUACAUGCAAGUCGAGCGAACAGAUGAGGAGCUUGCUCCUCUGACGUUAGCGGCGGACGGGUGAGUAACACGUGGAUAACCUACCUAUAAGACUGGGAUAACUUCGGGAAACCGGAGCUAAUACCGGAUAAUAUAUUGAACCGCAUGGUUCAAUAGUGAAAGACGGUUUUGCUGUCACUUAUAGAUGGAUCCGCGCCGCAUUAGCUAGUUGGUAAGGUAACGGCUUACCAAGGCAACGAUGCGUAGCCGACCUGAGAGGGUGAUCGGCCAAACUGGAACUGAGACACGGACCAGACUCCUACGGGAGGCAGCAGGAGGGAAUCUUCCGAAAAGGGCGAAAGCCUGACGGAGCAACGACGCGUGAGGGAUGAAGGUCUGCGGAUCGUAAAACUCUGUUAUUAGGGAAGAACAAAAGUGUAAGUAACUAUGCACGUCGUGACGGUACCUAAUCAGAAAGCCACGGCUAACUACGUG